AUUGAACGCUGGCGGCAUGCCUUACACAUGCAAGUCGAACGGUAACGCGGGGCAACCUGGCGACGAGUGGCGAACGGGUGAGUAACGCAUCGGAACGUGCCCAGUAGUGGGGGAUAGCUCGACGAAAGUCGAAUUAAUACCGCAUACGACCUACGGGUGAAAGGGGGGGAUCGCAAGACCUCUCGCUAUUGGAGCGGCCGAUGUCAGAUUAGGUAGUUGGUAGGGUAAAAGCCUACCAAGCCUGUGAUCUGUAGCUGGUCUGAGAGGACGACCAGCCACACUGGGACUGAGACACGGCCCAGACUCCUACGGGAGGCAGCAGUGGGGAAUUUUGGACAAUGGGCGCAAGCCUGAUCCAGCCAUGCCGCGUGCGGGAAGAAGGCC
rnacentral:rRNA from 1 species